GGCUCAAAUUUGAAGUAGAGUAGGUCCGAAGGAUCAUCUUACUCUACUAAACUACUCUACUUUGAAUUUGUGCCC
rnacentral:pre_miRNA from 1 species